GGAAUGUCUAAUUUCCAUAGUCAAGAUUGGAGUGGCAUGCUCGAUAGAGUCACCACAAGGUCGAAUGAGCUUAAGUAAUAUCCUCCAUGAACUUCAUUUGAUCAAGAAGAAAUUCCUUCAAGAUGAACUUUCAACAAUGAAGCCGCAAAGAUAAUUGGACAUCGGUGGGAGCAAGCGUGGCAUGUUUUCUAUUGACAAUGAAGCUUGAUGCUUGCCAAAGCUGUGAGAAAUGGUAAAAGCUCAGUAAAAAAGGAAGAGGAUUAUGCUAGUACUUUUAAAUUCAAACUGGGAACCUAUAUGUCACAAGUGUAUAAAUAAUUUGAUUAUCAGAUUAUUUUCUAUCUAGUCCAUGUGAGAAUGAUAAUGUAUUGUACUUGCGUGAUUCGAGUUUAUUUACCUUUUUAAUUGUUAGCCAAUAAUAUGGCUUUGUUUCUUUCACAAACUAUAUAUAUAUAUAUUUGAAAAGCGGAAGUUACUAUUGAAUCCAUGAAAAUGAAAUGCAAGUGUAUUUGGACUGGUGUUAAGGUCCUAGAUGA